rnacentral:rRNA from 1 species
CGUGGGUAACCUGCCUUAUAGUGGGGGAUAGCCUUUCGAAAGGAAGAUUAAUACCGCAUAAGAUUGUAGUAUCGCAUGAUAUAGCAAUCAAAGGAGCAAUUCGCUAUAAGAUGGACCCGCGUCGCAUUAGCUAGUUGGUGAGGUAAUGGCUCACCAAGGCGACGAUGCGUAGCCGACCUGAGAGGGUGAUCGGCCACAUUGGGACUGAGACACGGCCCAGACUCCUACGGGAGGCAGCAUG